AAUGGGGGAAACCCUGACGCAGCGAUGCCGCGUGAAGGAUGAAGGCUUUCGGGUCGUAAACUUCUUUUAUAUGGGAACAAUAAAUGAGGGUACCAUAUGAAUAAGGGCCUGCUAACUACGUGCCAGAAGCAUCGGUGAUACGUAGGGCCCGAGCGUUACCCGGAAUUACUGGGCGUAAAGAGAGCGUAGGCGUUCUAGUUAGUCUUGAGUUAAAUCCUGUGGCUCAACCGCAGACAGGCUUAGGAAACUACUAGAAUAGAGGCAAGAAGGGGCAGAUGGAAUUCCUAGUGGAGCGGUGAUAUGCGUUGAUAUUAGGAAGAACACCAAUGGCGAGGGCAGUCUGCUGGUCUUGAUCUGACGCUGAGGCUCGAAAGCGUGGGUAGCAAAACGGAUU
rnacentral:rRNA from 1 species